UACGUAGGGGGCGAGCGUUGUCCGGAAUUAUUGGGCGUAAAGAGCUCGUAGGCGGUCUGUCGCGUCUGCUGUGAAAAUCCAGGGCUCAACCCUGGACCUGCAGUGGGUACGGGCAGACUAGAGUGCGGUAGGGUAGAUCGGAAUUCCUGGUGUAGCGGUGAAAUGCGCAGAUAUCAGGAGGAACACCGGUGGCGAAGGCGGAUCUCUGGGCCAUUACUGACGCUGAGGAGCGAAAGCGUGGGGAGCGAACAGG
rnacentral:rRNA from 1 species